AGUGAACGCUGGCGGUAGGCCUAACACAUGCAAGUCGAACGGCAGCACAGGAGAGCUUGCUCUCUGGGUGGCGAGUGGCGGACGGGUGAGGAAUACAUCGGAAUCUACUCUGUCGUGGGGGAUAACGUAGGGAAACUUACGCUAAUACCGCAUACGACCUACGGGUGAAAGCAGGGGACCUUCGGGCCUUGCGCGAUUGAAUGAGCCGAUGUCGGAUUAGCUAGUUGGCGGGGUAAAGGCCCACCAAGGCGACGAUCCGUAGCUGGUCUGAGAGGAUGAACACCCACACUGGAACUGAGACACGGUCCAGACUCCUACGGGAGGCAGCAGUGGGGAAUAUUGGACAAUGGGCGCAAGCCUGAUCCAGCCAUACCGCGUGGGUGAAGAAGGCCUUCGGGUUGUAAAGCCCCUUUGUUGGGAAAGAAAUCCAGCUGGCUAAUACCCGGUUGGGAUGACGGUACCCAAAGAAUAAGCACCGGCUAACUUCGUGCCAGCCGCCGCCGUAA
rnacentral:rRNA from 1 species